AUAAAAGCAAAGAAGAGAAGAGUAAAUCAACUUUAUUCCUUUGCAGAGAGCUUCGGUUGGUGAAAAGAAGUAUUGAACAGUUGAUUGAAUAUGGUCUCUGAGCUGCAUAGCUGAACUCCAUAAUGAGUAAGGUUGUGACGAGAUUUGGCACUCGUUAUAAAUGUCAGAGUAUAAGAACAUAUCAGUGAAACUUCAUUCAGUGGGGGUAUUACUGCCCGUUACAUGUGGGAUAUAUUGUUCCGUACUUAUUGAGACUAAUCAUGUGAGUGAUUAGUGAAUUAAGGUGGUAUCACGAGUAUAACCUCGUCCUUAGA
rnacentral:ncRNA from 1 species